rnacentral:lncRNA from 1 species
UGAAGCAAAUCAAACAACGGCAGAAACUCAACCACUACCUCCAAAUAAUGCUGCUGCUAAUUCUACUGCUUCUAGCUCCGGAGUUGAUAUCGACAAGCCUGCCAAGUCUAUCAGAAGCUCCGUAAGAUCUAGGUUGAAAUCUCUAAUCUCUGAUGAACUCUACAGAAAGAAAGGCAGUAACCAUCGUCGCACUAACACAUGUCCAGUUCCUCAACAACAACAACAACAACAACAUAAUCCUCGUGAUGAACAAGAAACACAACAAUUAACCUUUGACAGGGUAACCUUACCACCCCCUUCUGUACCUCAUGUUGAUGACAGUGCGAGCGAAAACCAUGAUGCCUCCUCAAGUUCACAUGAACAUGAUCAAGAGAACGACUUUAGUAGUAGAAAGGAGCUCUCUG